rnacentral:lncRNA from 1 species
UUGGCCACCACAAAAAUGUUCUUUAUGGAGUUCAGAGGCAGAAACUAUACAUCCAGGAGUGAAUUGACAAUGAUCUCAUAUGACAGAUGGACUUAGAGAAGAAUUAAAGACACGCUGGGGCUGAGCCAAGAGAGAACUUCCCCUUGAUGUAAUCAGCAAAUAAGAAAGGUAAGGCGGCAGACAACCCUGAUCAGCUAUCCUAGAAAGGAAUGCAACGCAUACAUUCCAUUCUCCAGACCCAGGACUAGCUACAGUGGGAUUUCUCGGUGGCAGAGGAAAAACAAGAAGAUACAAGCAUCUGGUCUUUGGUGGGCUUGCUGAGAAAUAUUGGAAUGACAGAUUGUCUUUUGCAGUCCCUAGUGUUGGAUGGCAAACCAUGCUGGUGGCUAAGUGUACAAGGCACA